GCCAUGCCGCGUGCGGGAAGAAGGCCUCGGUUGUAACGCUUGUCAGGAGAACGACUUUGAGCUAAUACCUCGAGGUAAUGACGGUACCUGAAGAAUAAGACACCGGCUAACUCUGUGCCAGCAGCCGCGGUAAUACAGAGGUCUCAAGCGUUGUUCGGAAUCACUGGGCGUAAAGGGUGCGUAGGUGGCGUGGUAAGUCAGAUGUGAAAGCCCGGGGCUCAACCUCGGAAUUGCAUCCGAUACUGCCAUGCUCGAGUACUGAAGAGGUGACUAGAAUUCUAGGUGUAGCAGUGAAAUGCGUAGAUAUCUAGAGGAAUACCAAAAGGCGAAGGCAGGUCACUGGGCAGUUACUGACACUGAGGCACGAAGGGCCAGGGGAGGCGAACGGGAUUAGAUACCCCGGUAGUCCUGGCAGUAAACGGUGCACG
rnacentral:rRNA from 1 species